UACGUAGGGGGUCAGCGUUGCUCGGAAUUACUGGGCGUAAAGCGUGCGCAGGCGGUCUCGUAAGCUGGGUGUGAAAGCCCCGGGCUUAACCUGGGAAUGGCAUUCAGGACUGCGAGGCUCGAGCGUGGCAGAGGGAGGUGGAAUUCCACGUGUAGCAGUGAAAUGCGUAGAGAUGUGGAGGAACACCGAUGGCGAAGGCAGCCUCCUGGGCCAGCACUGACGCUCAAGCACGAAAGCGUGGGGAGCAAACAGG
rnacentral:rRNA from 1 species